rnacentral:rRNA from 1 species
AUACGGAGGAUCCGAGCGUUAUCCGGAUUUAUUGGGUUUAAAGGGUGCGCAGGCGGCCAUUUAAGUCAGCGGUUAAAUCGUGGGGCUAAACCACAUUCUGCCGUUGAUACUGGGGGGCUUGAUUGCGGUUGAGGUUGGCGGACUUCGUUGUGUAGCGGUGAAAUGCAUAGAUAUGACGAAGAACACCGAUUGCGUAGGCAGCUGACCAGACCGCAAAUGACGCUCAUGCACGAAAGUGCGUGGAUCGAACAGGAUUAGAUACCCUGGUAGUCCGCACAGUAAACGAUGAAUACUUGUUUUCGGCGAUAUAAUGUCGGAGGCAAAGCGAAAGCGAUAAGUAUUCCACCUGGGGAGUACGCCGGCAACGGUGAAACUCAAAGGAAUUGACGGGG